rnacentral:rRNA from 1 species
UGCAAGUCGAACGGUGAUGCCCAGCUUGCUGGGUGGAUCAGUGGCGAACGGGUGAGUAACACGUGAGCAACCUGCCCUCCACUUCGGGAUAAGCCUUGGAAACGAGGUCUAAUACCGGAUACGAGCACUUACCGCAUGGUGGGUGUUGGAAAGUUUUUCGGUGGGGGAUGGGCUCGCGGCCUAUCAGCUUGUUGGUGGGGUAAUGGCCUACCAAGGCGUCGACGGGUAGCCGGCCUGAGAGGGCGACCGGCCACACUGGGACUGAGACACGGCCCAGACUCCUACGGGAGGCAGCAGUGGGGAAUAUUGCACAAUGGGCGAAAGCCUGAUGCAGCGACGCCACGUGAGGGAUGACGGCCUUCGGGUUGUAAACCUCUUUCAGCAGGGAAGAAGCGAAAGUGACGGUACCUGCAGAAGAAGCGCCGGCUAACUACGUGCCAGCAGCCGCGGUAAUACGUAGGGCGCAAGCGUUGUCCGGAAUUAUUGGGCGUAAAGAGCUCGUAGGCGGUCUGUCGCGUCUGGUGUGAAAUCCCAUGGCUCAACCAUGGGCUUGCAUCGGGUACGGGCAGACUAGAGUGCUGUAGGGGAGACUGGAAUUCCUGGUGUAGCGGUGGAAUGCGCAGAUAUCAGGAGGAACACCGAUGGCGAAGGCAGGUCUCUGGGCAGUUACUGACGCUGAGGAGCG